rnacentral:ncRNA from 1 species
GGAUCCUUUGCAGACGACUUCUCUAAAGAACGGGGCAUUGCAAGGGGCAGAGUAGACUUGUUUCUACGAUCCUCUGAGAUUAAGCCUUUUUGCUCUCUUGAUUC